UGAAUAUGGGGGGACCAUCCUCCAAGGCUAAAUACUCCUGACUGACCGAUAGUGAACCAGUACCGUGAGGGAAAGGCGAAAAGAACCCCGGCGAGGGGAGUGAAAAAGAACCUGAAACCGUGUACGUACAAGCAGUGGGAGCACGCUUAGGCGUGUGACUGCGUACCUUUUGUAUAAUGGGUCAGCGACUUAUAUUCUGUAGCAAGGUUAACCGAAUAGGGGAGCCGAAGGGAAACCGAGUCUUAACUGGGCGUUAAGUUGCAGGGUAUAGACCCGAAACCCGGUGAUCUAGCCAUGGGCAGGUUGAAGGUUGGGUAACACUAACUGGAGGACCGAACCGACUAAUGUUGAAAAAUUAGCGGAUGACUUGUGGCUGGGGGUGAAAGGCCAAUCAAACCGGGAGAUAGCUGGUUCUCCCCGAAAGCUAUUUAGGUAGCGCCUCGUGAAUUCAUCUCCGGGGGUAGAGCACUGUUUCGGCAAGGGGGUCAUCCCGACUUACCAACCCGAUGCAAACUGCGAAUACCGGAGAAUGUUAUCACGGGAGACACACGGCGGGUGCUAACGUCCGUCGUGAAGAGGGAAACAACCCAGACCGCCAGCUAAGGUCCCAAAGUCAUGGUUAAGUGGGAAACGAUGUGGGAAGGCCCAGACAGCCAGGAUGUUGGCUUAGAAGCAGCCAUCAUUUAAAGAAAGCGUAAUAGCUCACUGGUCGAGUCGGCCUGCGCGGAAGAUGUAACGGGGCUAAACCAUGCACCGAAGCUGCGGCAGCGACACUAUGUGUUGUUGGGUAGGGGAGCGUUCUGUAAGCCUGUGAAGGUGUACUGUGAGGUAUGCUGGAGGUAUCAGAAGUGCGAAUGCUGACAUAAGUAACGAUAAAGCGGGUGAAAAGCCCGCUCGCCGGAAGACCAAGGGUUCCUGUCCAACGUUAAUCGGGGCAGGGUGAGUCGACUCCUAAGGCGAGGCCGAAAGGCGUAGUCGAUGGGAAACAGGUUAAUAUUCCUGUACUUGGUGUUACUGCGAAGGGGGGACGGAGAAGGCUAUGUUGGCCGGGCGACGGUUGUCCCGGUUUAAGCGUGUAGGCUGGUUUUCCAGGCAAAUCCGGAAAACUAAGGCUGAGGCGUGAUGACGAGGCACUACGGUGCUGAAGCAACAAAUGCCCUGCUUCCAGGAAAAGCCUCUAAGCAUCAGGUAACAUCAAAUCGUACCCCAAACCGACACAGGUGGUCAGGUAGAGAAUACCAAGGCGCUUGAGAGAACUCGGGUGAAGGAACUAGGCAAAAUGGUGCCGUAACUUCGGGAGAAGGCACGCUGAUAUGUAGGUGAAGUCCCUCGCGGAUGGAGCUGAAAUCAGUCGAAGAUACCAGCUGGCUGCAACUGUUUAUUAAAAACACAGCACUGUGCAAACACGAAAGUGGACGUAUACGGUGUGACGCCUGCCCGGUGCCGGAAGGUUAAUUGAUGGGGUCAGCGCAAGCGAAGCUCUUGAUCGAAGCCCCGGUAAACGGCGGCCGUAACUAUAACGGUCCUAAGGUAGCGAAAUUCCUUGUCGGGUAAGUUCCGACCUGCACGAAUGGCGUAAUGAUGGCCAGGCUGUCUCCACCCGAGACUCAGUGAAAUUGAACUCGCUGUGAAGAUGCAGUGUACCCGCGGCAAGACGGAAAGACCCCGUGAACCUUUACUAUAGCUUGACACUGAACAUUGAGCCUUGAUGUGUAGGAUAGGUGGGAGGCUUUGAAGUGUGGACGCCAGUCUGCAUGGAGCCGACCUUGAAAUACCACCCUUUAAUGUUUGAUGUUCUAACGUUGACCCGUAAUCCGGGUUGCGGACAGUGUCUGGUGGGUAGUUUGACUGGGGCGGUCUCCUCCUAAAGAGUAACGGAGGAGCACGAAGGUUGGCUAAUCCUGGUCGGACAUCAGGAGGUUAGUGCAAUGGCAUAAGCCAGCUUGACUGCGAGCGUGACGGCGCGAGCAGGUGCGAAAGCAGGUCAUAGUGAUCCGGUGGUUCUGAAUGGAAGGGCCAUCGCUCAACGGAUAAAAGGUACUCCGGGGAUAACAGGCUGAUACCGCCCAAGAGUUCAUAUCGACGGCGGUGUUUGGCACCUCGAUGUCGGCUCAUCAC
rnacentral:rRNA from 1 species